rnacentral:rRNA from 1 species
CCUACGGGUGACAGCAGUGGGGGAUAUUGCACAAUGGGGGAAACCCUGAUGCAGCGACGCCGCGUGAGUGAAGAAGUAUUUCGGUAUGUAAAGCUCUAUCAGCAGGGAAGAAAAUGACAGUACCUGACCAAGAAGCCCCGGCUAACUACGUGCCAGCAGCCGCGGUAAUACGUAGGGGGCAAGCGUUAUCCGGAUUUACUGGGUGGAAAGGGAGCGUAGACGGUUUUGUAAGUCUGGAGUGAAAGCCCGGGGGCCAACCCCGGGACUGCUUUGGAAACUGGUUAACUGGAGUACAGGAGAGGUAGGCGGAAUUCCUGGUGUAGCGGUGAAAUGCGUAGAUAUCAGGAGGAACACCGGCGGCGAAGGCGGCUUACUGGACUGUAACUGACGUUGAGGCUCGAAAGCGUGGGGAGCAAACAGGAUUAGAUACCCUAGUAGUC